GGUAGUUAAAGCUUUAUUUAUUGCCAAAUCGCUUGUGAAAUUUUUCAGUCACUGUCAGUGCUUGUAGCAAACAAUACAAGUAUUUAAAUUUAUCUUGAGCCGGGCAUGAUGGCAGAUGCCCAUAACCCCAGCAUUCCAGAGGCUGAGGCAGGAGGAUCUCAUUGAGUUCCAGGCCAGCCUCACCUGCAUAGCAACACCCUGUCUUGAUCUUUUUUCUUUUCAGUACAGAAAAUCAAACUCAGGGCCUUGCGCUUGCCAGGCAGGCACUGCACUGCUGAGCUACAUCCCUGGCCCAGCAACACCCUGUUUUAAGAAAAGAAAGAAACAAAUGUGCAGAUGGGGACUUCCUUGUUGUUUGGGCUGUCCUAGGACUCCUGGACUUCAGUGAUCCUCCUGCCUCAUCCUCCUGGGUAGCUGGUACUACAGGCACAUGCCACCAUGUCCAGUUUUAUUCACUGGUUUUUUUUAAAGCAUAUUUAUCAUUUAGUAUAUUUACAUGUACCCAAUAUGUGGAAUUUUUUUUCCAAAUUCAUAACUCAUUUACAUUCUACCUAUUUGGAGUGUUUAUUUUUUGCAGUGCUGGGGAUGGAACCCAGAGUUUUAUGCAUGUCCCUUUUGGUUUCUUAAUCUUGCCUAUUUUCAAACAGAGCAAGAAUAGCCAGUGUUAAAAAACUAUCAGAACUAAUCCUAUACACAUAUAGGAUUAACAAAAACUGGAGUAACACAAUCUGUUUUGAAUAUUUUUAUUCUACUUCGUUGUUUGAAUGUUUGAGAGAAAAUUUAGAACCUCCAAAUAAUAUAGCUACAUAAUACAUACAAAGUCUGGCAUGCUUCCUGGGUAUGGUGGCGGACCAGGGAGCCUGAAUCAGGAAGACUGCCACAAAUUCAAGGCCAGCCUGGGCUACAUGGUGAGUUCAAGGCCAGCCUGAACUGCAUGGCGAGACCCUGUCUCAUCACCGCCAAAAAGAAAUUCUGGAAUCAACAAUUUUCAAAGAAAACCCUCUUGAAUUGCAAAAUAAUAUUAAUUUGUGGUUUUUGUUUCUAUUUUUAAAUUUUUGUACUGGGUAUUGAACUCAGGGCCUUCACAGUGAGCUACAUCCCCAACCCUUUUUGCUCUUUGUUCCUUUUUUUUUUUUGAGACAGGUUUUAAGUUGCCCAGUUGGGACUUGAACUGGCAACCUUCCUUCUUCAGCCUCCCAGAGUGCCGUUAUGAUAGGCCUGCACCAUCCUGCCCAGCUCUCAACCUAUAAGAUGUUUACAGAUAACGUUUAAUGUGUUUCCUGGCUUGAUCUUGCUUUUUAAAGUAAUGCUGAGGGCUGGGGAUUUAGCUCGGCGGUUCCUGCGCCUGCCUCGCAAGCUCAAGGACCCGAGUUCGAUCCCCGGUACCAAAAACAAAACAAAAUAAGAACAAUAAAGUAAUCCUGAAUGCUUUAUUAAGGAAUUGUUUUUUCUCUUUUUGCAAUACUGGGGAUUAAACUCAGGGCCUUGCACCUUAGGCAAGUGCGCUACUACCGAGCUACCCCCCAGCCCUGUCUUGCUCAUUGCAGUGACUCCAAGGUAGCAGGGGAAGGUGGUGAAGUGAGUUUCUUUCAGAUGAAGAAACGAGGUUCAGAGCGAUGAGCCCAGAGUGCCCAGCAUCUCACGAGCCCCGCGGCAAAGAGCGCACAGCGGUGCUGUAGGCAGGCGCGGUGGUGCACACCUGUCCUCCCAGCAUGCUGCAGCGUCCGCAGGAGGACGGCAAAUUCAGGCCCAGUCUGGGCAUCUUGGCAAGACCGUGUCUCAAAAUAAAAAAUAGAACAAAGAAGGGAUGGGGAUAUAGCUCAGUGUGAAGGCAAGUUUAUGUUCCCAGUAGUGGGGGAAAAAAUGUGGUUAUGAAUUGCAGGCCAAAGGUUUGAUUUGGUAAUAUGAUUUGACUGAAUUUAACUCCUCAGCCAUUCUAAUCUGGGAGUCAUUAAUUUUGGCAAAGUCGUUGUGUUUAUCUUAGGGAUACUUAAGCUUCUUACUACCAGGAACAAUUUAGUGCACCCUUCUGUAGGAGUUCUCCCCUCAGUUAAACAGCAGACUCCUCCCCGGGAGGUGCUGUUACUGUGGAAACUGGGGACAGUAUUGUCUGAGAGGGCAGCCGUCGCUGAGGGCCGCUCUGCUUCGGGCAGAUCUACACACGCUUCAUUCCAACGUGUACAUCCUUCUGUGAAGACUCGACGGAUGAUGCAUCUAAUAAACCCUGGCCUCAUACCUAAUGCUCGCUUGGUUUUGGUUUUGACUUUAAAGGCAACAGUGAUAGACCUACAAAACAAAGGUCUGGAGGAAACAUCCGUGGUGAUGGUUUUGCGCCUUCAUGGGUUUGCCUGUUGUGUUUAUUUUACUAAUUAUGGGAAACUGAUAGACGAGAGACAUCAGAAUCACCAUUGGUUAUGAGAAAAUGAUGUAAUAAAA
rnacentral:lncRNA from 1 species